rnacentral:rRNA from 1 species
UACGUAGGGUGCGAACGUUGUUCGGAAUCACUGGGCAUAAAGGGCGCGUAGGCGGUCCAUUAAGUCCUUUGUGAAAGCCCCCGGCUCAACCGGGGAAUAGCAGGGGAUACUGUUGGGCUAGAGUGCAGGAGGGGAGAGCGGAAUUCCUGGUGGAGCGGUGAAAUGCGUAGAUAUCAGGAGGAACGCCGGUGGCGAAAGCGGCUCUCUGGUCUGUUACUGACGCUGAGGCGCGAAAGCUAGGGGAGCAAACGGG